CUGCCUGACUCCUUUUAUGAACAACAGCACCGUGAUGAAGGCAGCAGGAGUCAGAGAACUAUUCAUUGCAGGAAGCCCCAACAUCCGGUGAGAAAUAAGAAGUACAACAGUACAGGAUGCGCCUUGGGUCAGGGGGACGUGGAAAGCCCGCAGCCUUUGUGUCCUUCUCUGCGCCGGAGUGGCUGCAGCUCACCCCUCAGCUCCCCUCGGGGCCCAGCUGGGAGCCGAGAUAGAAGCUCCUGUCGCCGCUGGGCUUCUCGCCUCCCGCAGAGGGCCACACAGAGACCAGGAUGGCCACCUCCAUGGGCCUGCUGCUGCUGCUGCUCCUGACCCAGCCCGGGGCGGGGACGGGAGCUGACACGGAGGCGGUGGUCUGCGUGGGGACCGCCUGCUACACGGCCCACUCGGGCAAGCUGAGCGCUGCCGAGGCCCAGAACCACUGCAACCAGAACGGGGGCAACCUGGCCACUGUGAAGAGCGAGGAGGAGGCCCAGCACGUCCAGCGAGUACUGGCCCAGCUCCUGAGGCGGGAGGCAGCCCUGACGGCGAGGAUAGGCAAGUUCUGGAUUGGGCUCCAGCGAGAGAAGGGCAAGUGCCUGGACCCUAGUCUGCCGCUGAAGGGCUUCAGCUGGGUGGGCGGGGGGGAGGACACGCCUUACUCUAACUGGCACAAGGAGCUCCGGAACUCGUGCAUCUCCAAGCGCUGUGUGUCUCUGCUGCUGGACCUGUCCCAGCCGCUCCUUCCCAGCCGCCUCCCCAAGUGGUCUGAGGGCCCCUGUGGGAGCCCAGGCUCCCCCGGAAGUAACAUUGAGGGCUUCGUGUGCAAGUUCAGCUUCAAAGGCAUGUGCCGGCCUCUGGCCCUGGGGGGCCCAGGUCAGGUGACCUACACCACCCCCUUCCAGACCACCAGUUCCUCCUUGGAGGCUGUGCCCUUUGCCUCUGCGGCCAAUGUAGGCUGUGGGGAAGGCGACAAGGACGAGAGUCAGAGUCAUUAUUUCCUGUGCAAGGAGAAGGCCCCCGAUGUGUUCGACUGGGGCAGCUCGGGCCCCCUCUGUGUCAGCCCCAAGUAUGGCUGCAGCUUCAACAAUGGGGGCUGCCACCAGGACUGCUUUGAAGGGGAGGAUGGCUCCUUCCUCUGCGGCUGCCGGCCAGGAUUCCGGCUGCUGGAUGACCUGGUGACCUGUGCCUCUCGAAACCCUUGCAGCUCCAGCCCAUGUCGUGGGGGGGCCACGUGCAUCCUGGGACCCCAUGGGAAAAACUACACGUGCCGCUGCCCUCAAGGGUACCAGCUGGACUCGAGUCAGCUGGACUGUGUGGACGUGGAUGAAUGCCAGGACUCCCCCUGUGCCCAGGAGUGUGUCAACACCCCUGGGGGCUUCCGCUGCGAAUGCUGGGUUGGCUAUGAGCCGGGCGGUCCUGGAGAGGGGGCCUGUCAGGAUGUGGAUGAGUGUGCUCUGGGUCGCUCACCUUGCGCCCAGGGCUGCACCAACACAGAUGGCUCAUUUCACUGCUCCUGUAAGGAGGGCUACGUCCUGGCCGGGGAGGACGGGACUCAGUGCCAGGACGUAGACGAGUGUGUGGGCCCGGGGGGCCCCCUCUGCGACAGCUUGUGCUUCAACACACAAGGGUCCUUCCACUGUGGCUGCCUGCCAGGCUGGGUGCUGGCCCCAAAUGGGGUCUCUUGCACCAUGGGGCCUGUGUCUCUGGGACCACCAUCUGGGCCCCCCGAUGAGGAGGACAAAGGAGAGAAAGAAGGGAGCACCGUGCCCCCCGCUGCAACAGCCAGUCCCACGAGGGGCCCCGAGGGCACCCCCAAGGCUACACCCACCACAAGUAGACCUUCGCUGUCAUCUGACGCCCCCAUCACAUCUGCCCCACUCAAGAUGCUGGCCCCCAGUGGGUCCCCAGGCGUCUGGAGGGAGCCCAGCAUCCAUCACACCACAGCUGCCUCUGGCCCCCAGGAGCCUGCAGGUGGGGACUCCUCCGUGGCCGCACAAAACAACGAUGGCACUGACGGGCAAAAGCUGCUUUUAUUCUACAUCCUAGGCACCGUGGUGGCCAUCCUACUCCUGCUGGCCCUGGCUCUGGGGCUACUGGUCUAUCGCAAGCGGAGAGCGAAGAGGGAGGAGAAGAAGGAGAAGCAGCCCCAGAAUGCGGCAGACAGUUACUCCUGGGUUCCAGAGCGAGCAGAGAGCAGGGCCAUGGAGAACCAGUACAGUCCGACACCUGGGACAGACUGCUGAAAGUGAGGUGGCCCUAGAGACACUAGAGUCACCGGCCACCAUCCUCAGAGCUUUGAACUCCCCAUUCCAAAGGGGCACCCACAUCUUUCUGAAAGACUGGACUGGAAUCUUAGCAAACAAUUGUAAGUCUCCUCCUUAAAGGCCCCUUGGAACAUGCAGGUAUUUUCUACGGGUGUGUGAUGUUCCUGAAGUGGAAGCUGUGUGUUGGCGUGCCACGGUGGGGAUUUCGUGACUCUGUAAUGAUUGUUACUCCCCCUCCCUUUUCAAAUUCCAAUGUGACCAAUUCCGGAUCAGGGUGUGAGGAGGCCGAGGCUAAGGGGCUCCCCUGAAUAUCUUCUCUGCUCACUUCCACCAUCUAAGAGGAAAAGAGGAAAUUAUGAACAGCUCAACAGUGAAAAAGUGAAGAAAGAGGCAGAGAGAGUAAAAGGGUCUGGCUUUCCCAAAAAUGUUAUGUCACAAAUGUUUUACUUCAUUGUUGAAAUCGCUGCCUCCCGUCCCGCGUGUGUUUGUCGGGGUGUCACGCCCUUGUCUGCUUUCCUUCUCAUCCGUCCUGCAAGUCCUCAUGCCCUGGCCUCCAUCCAGGCCCUCAUCCCCCAUGGCUGUGGCUUCGUCAGCUUCUCCUCGGAUUUCCACCAGUUUUGUCUUCUAUUUACAGCCGCGUGGUGAAGGGACUAAUAUGUGUUUGGCAGAUUUCGUCCUUCACCAAUAAAAAAUAUACCUUUUUGAACCUUUUCACUUCAAAUUAUAUUAUAUAUGACUUUACAACUGAUAUACCCGAUUCAUUCUGCUGCAUCUGAUGAAUAUCUGGUAUUUUUUCCCUAAAUUCAGCCUUUUGGUGACACUUCAUGUUUGUCUCUUGUAAACAACAAAGCUGGAUUUCACUUUUUUUUCUUUUAUUCAAUCAAAAGUCUUUGUCUUUUAAUGGGAGAAUUCAAUCUAUUCACAUUCAUUAAGGUUACUAAUAAAUUUGUACUGACUUAUUUUAUAUGUUCCAUUUAUAAUGAUUCAUUGGGAUUUCUAGUCUCUCUCUCGUCAAUUAUUAGUUGAUUAAGUUUUCUUUGAUCUACUUUUUCCCUUAAUAUUUUGGAAUUGAUAUAGACUAUUUGUAUUCUUCAAAUAGUCUUACUUUUUCACCUCACAUACUAAAGCCUAUAUCUUCUAUUAAUGUCUUAUGUUAAUUAAUAGCUAUCUCCUCCCUCUAUCCCCCAAAAUACCCAGCAAUCUGUUAUUUCUAUUUCCUGUCCUCUCAGGUUACCCAGAUUCCCACACCACUGCCCACCUGGAUUGCAUCUGAAUUUUUUUUUUUAUUGUUAUACAUUUUUACAACCAAAACCUACUUGGAUGCCAUGAGUUUUUGUUGAUUUUUUCUCAUCUUCACCUCUGAUUCCCAGUACUGUUGGAUUCAGUUAUCACGGGAGUGUUUUGUUUUGAGUUGUGUCUUUUUCUGAGAAGGUCAUGCUUGCAUGACCAGAAAUGCCUUUCCCUUCCGCAAGUUGAAUGAUGCCUCACCUAGACAUAGAUUUCUAGGCUCUAAACUGUUGUCCUGUAGAACUCUGGAGAUAUCCAGCCUUUGCUUUCUUGCAUACGUUGUUACUGAUGAGAAGGCUGAUGUCAAAUAAUGUGUUUUCUUUCAUGGACCAUUUUUUUUUCUUUUUUCCUUUUUUUUUUUUUUUUUUUUUUUUUGAGAUAGAGUCUCGCUCUGUCACCCAGGCUGGAGUGCAGUGGUGUGAUCUCGGCUCACUGCAACCUCUGUCUCCCGGGUUGAAGCGAUUCUCCUGCCUCAGCCCUCCUGAGUAGCUGGGAUUACAGGCACAUGCCACCAUGCUCGACUAAUUUUUUUUUGUAUUUUUAGUAGAGACGGGGUUUCACCACAUUGGUCAGGCUGGUCUCGAACUCCUGACCUCAUGAUCCACCCACCUCGGCCUCCCAAAGUGCUGGGAUUCGCCCGGCCUUCUUUUUCUUUUCCAUUUUUCCCCGAGUGCUUUGGCGAUUUUCUUAUUCUCUGUUGAGUUCUGAGGUUUCGCUUCAGGUUGCGGGUGUGGUUCCUUUCUGGUCCCGCCUGCACUAGGUGAGCUUUUCCCAGCACAGGAGGGCAUUUCCUUCUAGCUGUAUUUGAACCUGAGCAUGUGUCUGAAUCCUCUGGAACCUCCUGCAGGGCUCCUUAAAACGGAACCCCUCCCUCAGAGCUUCUGACUUGGCCGAUCUGGGGUGGAGCCCAAGACUGCAUUUCUGCUGAUGCUGCUGGUCCAGGAACCGCCCUUGGAGAACCGCUGCUUCAUUUGGUCUUGAGUGAUCUUCUCUUAUUCUUGUUAGUAUACCUUCUUGUUCAUUGUCUUGACUCUCUUAUUUUGGAAACAAUUUUAGAUGGUUCUUUCCUUCCUCACUUUGUACCUAUCUUCUCCCAGUGGGCUAUAAGGCUGGGCCUUCUCUCCAGCCCUCCCAGCGAUCCUUGCUCUGCUCUACUGUUUUUCCAAAACACCAAUCACCUUCCACCCUGGUUUAUGAUUUCUGUUUGUACACUAUGAUUGAUUAUUUAGUAUCUGUAUUUAUUUACUAGAAUGUAAGAGCCAACAGGGGCACUUUUUUGUCUUUUGGUUUCUGAUAUACCCUAGGCCUCUAGACCAGGGCCUGGCAUACUAUGGUGCUCAGUAAACACGUGUGGAAUGCAUGACUGAGCUGGGGGUUGGAGCAGUGUACCAGGUAGGGUGGGCUAGCACACCCUCCUGGUGGGCCUGUGUGAGCCUCGAUGCUGUCCAGGGCCUCUUCCUCCACCAUCUGCCACCUGUCCCCUGUCUCCAGCUCAUGGCACGGCCUGCACUCAAGUCUUCACUAUUGCUGAUCUGAAUUGUGGCUGCCAUAUCCAGCUGGUCUGGGGCUCUUUGCACUCCAGCUCUCAGAAACAGAGCCUGAGAGAAGGACUCACCAUCCUGUGGUUCACUGGGAAGCACAGGGAACAGUGGUAAUGGCAUCAAGUGGUGACAUCACUGUGGAAAUCCUGGGAAAUGGUGCAAAACAUGCCAGGGUCAUCACAUCUGAAAGCCAAGGGAGUGGUGUGUAGAUACCCAUUGGUAAUGAGUAGAGGGCUGCCCUGGGUGGAGGUGGUGGGUAAUUCCCAGCACUUCCAGAUGACCACACAUGUGGGCAAAGUGGCCUUCCACACUUAGGAUGGGGAAACCUUCAGGUACAGAUGCAGGCCCUGGCAGGUGUACUUCACCUGAGCACAGUGAAAAGUGCAAGCACGAUUUGUUGAGCACUGGCAGCCUCCAGCACACAGCUGUCCUCUAAACUCAGUGCAGACAGUCCUCCCUGCCUCUAGAGGUCAUGCCUCCAUUUCCCCAGGAGGAGCUGUAUCCAUGGGGAUGGAUUUCUCUCUCAGGAGUUUUCUGCUGGCUUUUAUCACUUUAUUCCUUGCAUGAUAGGUCAGUGGCUACAUGACUUGUGUCUUCCUGAGAGACUGUAAGGCACUCAAGAGCAAGGGGUACAUCUGUAUUGUGCCUUGCUCACAGUCAAGCCUCAAAAGAUUUUUUAAAUACAAGACCCCUGGAUAUGUUAUUUUAUACCACAUAUGUUAUUAAAGCAAUGAAGAGGAAAAAAAUCACUGACCUUUUACUAUGUACCAAAUGGGAAAAUAGUAUUUGCUAUUGAGAAAUAGGUAGUAUUAAUAUCUCCAUUUUAUAGUUAAGGAAAUUGAGGCAGAGAGAAGAUGAGUGGUGAAUUAGAUGAAUGAAAUCUUACACUCUCACUCUUAAUCACUAGGCUUCCCUGCCUCCCAUUAGACAUGAAUAGGAACUGCAAUUGAAAAAGUGUCAACCAGCAAAGAGUGGGGAGAUGAGUGGGCCUCUCAGCCAGUUUCAGAUAGGAAAAGCAGAGUGUUAAGCAAUAUGGGUAUUUUUAAUAAUAUGUUCAAACAAACUUACUUGGGCUUGUGUAUGUACCCCCCAAACACACACACACACACACACACACACACGCACACACACACUGGGGUAGAACUACUCAAAAGCCCUCUGAUCAGAAAGAUUGUGCAUCCUGAGACCUGCCUUGCCUGCUCUGAGGGCAGAUCCCAGGGAACGCACCCUCACAGUCCCCCCACGUGGCUAUCCCCAGUCUGCCUUGGUGAGAGCAAUGUGUUUGAAUGCAGUAGGAGAGGAAGGGAAGUGGGAAUGUGCAAAUCGCCCCAUAGUCCCGACCUGCUCAGAGGCUACUUCCCAACUGGAACUCUUGCACACGGUAAUAGAAAUGUAAACGGUAUAACUUCUUUAAAAACAGAUGGUUUCUUUCUUAGAAAGUUAAACAUACACUUAACGUACAACCUGACAAUUCUGCUCUUAGAUAUUUAUUUAAGGGAAUGAAGCCAUGAUCUACAUUGUCUUGGCCAUAGAUAUUCACAAGGUUUAUUUAUACAACUUCGAUCUGGAAAGAACCCAGACAUUCAUCAUUAGGUAGCUGGGUGAAGACUGUGGGUCAUGCACACAAUGGGAUAUCCCUUAUCAAGGAAAAGGAGCAGGCGUCUGAAAUACACAAUGAGCAAGAAAGCCAGACACAAAGGAACAAAAUUAGCUGGACACUGCAUGAUUCCAUUUCUAUGACAUUCUAGAAGAGGUAAAACUAAUCCGCAGUGAUGGAUGGUAGUUCAAUGGUUAUGUGAGAGUCGGGGUGAGGGUUGGGAGCAAAAGACCUUGAGGGACCUUCGUGGAAUGAAGGAAAUACUUGUGUCUUGAUUGGGUGUUGGUUACAUGGGCGUUUGCAUUUGUCAAAACUCCUUAGACCACACAGAAAAUGGCUACAUUUUAUUGUAUGCAAAUUAAACCUCAAUAAAGUUGAGUUUUAAAUGCUGCUAAUCAUUGUUAUAAAUUAAACAAAAGAUUUACAAAUUGUGACCUGAAUAUUUUUCUAGAAGUGGGAAACAUGAUUGCUUUUGACUUCGUCAUUUCAGUGGUAUUAAAAAGUGAAUGACUAUUGUGGGCUGGAGUUAGUUUUGUACUUUCUACACUUUAUCCACUGCCGGUUGCUUCACCAAAUCCUCUGCUCAGCACUGGGGACUGGGAAGACAUCUGUCUCUGACUGUCCCCCUCCACCUCCCACCAAAGCACCACAGGGAUCAUGAAUAUCCCUAAUUAUACCGGCCUCCAUCAAAACACACACACAUCAUGAAGGAGCGGUCACCUCUGUGUGUUCCAAGGCCACUUUCCUUUCAUCAAUCCUGAGUAUUGACUUUUUAAACUUGCAGCUUUGUUUUUUUUUGUUUACCCAUUUUCCUUUGAAUCAUCUGACUACAUUUCUUUCUUAGAGAUGGCCACAGUCAAACCCUGCUUUUUGGCUGUAGGUCUUUUGGCUAGAGGCCCUUCAGUUUUAGGAAAGCAUCUUUUACUAUGGAGACAACAUUUCAUGUCAUUUAACUUUAUGACUUAAAAACAACCUCGGAAAAUCUUCUGGCAGAGAUUGCAGACGCCAAGUUUAAAGUGGAAUCGGUGUCAACAAUAAAGUCAUGGCCCUUCAUUAGGAGGUUUUCCCAUUGCACAGGAGAGACCAGUUGCCCAGUUUGACUUCUUUGAUGUUCACAGCGCCUGGAUUUGAUGCUUAAUGGGUUUGUGACUGCAGUGAAAUGCCGUUCAUUAACUUUUGUUAUGUGUUGAAUUGUCUUCAGAUGAGGUAUGUAUCCUAUUUGAGCAAAGAAAAAAUAAUUCAUUUGGGCCUUAUAAUUUCAAAAUUUGGAGUCACAUUGGGAUGGAAUUAAUACAUCCAUUAGCUUAACAAACAAGAAACAAACCAAAAAGAGAGAGAGAUAAAAGAUAUGUUGGGGAAAUGAGGUUCAUAAGAGACUUUAGCUGUGCUGUUUAGCCUACUAAAAAUUCAUCUUGUAGGAGCACUUAGCUCUACGUUUAUAUCUAUUCGCGUAAAGCAGAUAUGAAUUUCAAAUGAUUAUUACAUGAAUGCAAGAAAAUCAGUAUCUGUUCUAGGUAUGUUAUUCUGGUCCUGCUUAUAUCUAAAUAUGUUAAUAAACUUAUAAUAUUUAGCAGUAAAUUUGCCUGUGCAUAUUAAAGCCUGGUUAACAUAAUGCUUAUUUUUCUCUCACGACAAGAAAUUCAGAGGUGGGAAAGCCAGGGCUGCUGCAGCUGCUUUCGGCUGCAUUUCUUCUUUUGGUCCUCCAGCACCAGCGAGCAUGUGGCUUGCAUCCUCGUGCCUACAGCAUGGCUGCUGUGCCUACAGGCCUCACACAGAAGUCCCGCUCACCAAGGAAGCAUUUUUAAUCCUUUUUAAAAAGUUGAAGUAAGAUUUAUAUGCAGAGAAAGGUACGAAUCCCAACUGUACAAUUUAAUGCAUUUUGAUAAAUGUAUAUACCAUUGUAACCAUCACUUUGGUCAAGAUGUGGAACUAUCCAUCACCCCUAGUAAGUUUCCUAUGCUCCUUGCAAUCAAGUUCCACCCCAUAGACAAACACUGUUCUGCUGUCUAUCACCACAGAUUUGUUUGGCCUGUUUCAGAAGUAUUCGUAGAUAGAAUCAGCAUUUAUUGGGGUUAGGCCUGUUAUUCGGUUCUUUUUCUACCUUUCCUACCUUCCUCCUCCACCUCCUCCUCCUUCCCUUCCUUUCAGUUCUCUUUUCCUGUUUUCUUGGGGGUUAUUCAAGUAUCCUUUUUAAAUUAUUAUAAUUUCAUUUUUGAGAAACGUUAGGUCUACAGAUGAAUUAGGUAGAAAGUACAGAAAAUUCCCAUAUAUGCCUCCUCCAAUCCCAUCCCGCAAGAUGUUUCAACAACUUGCAGUUGUGGGAGAGAAAACAUAAUUUCCUUUCUUUUCCUUUUUACGUUAUUAGGUAAGAAACUCUCCUGAAAACAGAUGUCAAAUUAACAUAAGAAAAACAAGCAGAGGUUUAUUAAUUUAUGUAGUACCCAUCACAUAGGAGAAGACUUGGUCCAAAAGUAUUUCUUUCUUUCUUUUUUUUUUUUUUUUUUUUUUUUGAGACGGAGUCUCGCUCUGUUGCCCAGGCUGGAGUGCAGUGGCGCAGUCUUGGCUCACUGCAACCUCUGCCUCCCGGGUUCACGCCAUUCUCCUGCGUCAGCCUCCCGAGUAGCUGGGACUACAGGCGCCCGCCACCACGCCAGGCUAAUUUUCUGUAUUUUUAAUAGAAACAGGGUUUCAUUGUGUUAGCCAGGAUGGUCUCGAUCUCCUGACCUCGUGAUCAGCCCGCCUCUGCCUCCCAAAGUGCUGGGAUUACAGGCGCGAGCCACCGUGCCCGGCCAGUCCAAAAGUAUUUCUGAAGGCAAUGGCUUAGGGGUCCUUGGUUAAAUAGUAUUUCAGCAAAGAGCCAUAAAUCCUAUGUAGUGACAAAACAAAGAGGAGAGCAGUUCUUGUCUUUUAAAAGGCAGGAAGAUCUGGGAAGAUAGUAAAGCCCGCUUCCAGAUGUCUCUUGUGCCUGCUGAUGCCCUCUCUGGGCUGGGAAGUGAGUGCUGUCUUCAGUAAGGAAGGGCUUGUGUGCUGCCGUCAGCCAAACAGCGGCCGAGGCCAAGUGCUUCCCUGUGCUUGUGGCAUUUUUAGCUGAACAACCCUCAAUAUUUUGGGAGAAAUAAUUUGGUUUCCCUCAUGUUGGUGUGGUACAUUUGUUAAACUUGAUGAGCUAAUAUUGACAUAUUAUUAUUAACUAAAGCCCAAAGUUUACAUUAGGGUUUAUUCUUACUGUUGUACAUUUCAUGGAUUUUGACAAACAUGUAAUGACUAAUGAUGUGUUCCACUGUCACAGUGUCAUGCAGAAUCGUUUCUCUGCCCUAAACAUCCUCUGUGCUCUGCCUCUUCUUCCCUCCCAACUCCUGGCAACCAUGAUCUUUUCACUGUCUCCAUAGUUUUACCUUUUCUAGAGUGUCAUAUAGUUGGAAUCAUAGAAUAUGUAGCCUUUUCAGAUUGGCUUCUUUCACUUAAUAAUAUGCAUUUAGGUUUCUUCUAAACAUUUUCAUGGUUUGAUAGCUCAUUUCUUUUUUGUGCUGAAUAAUAUUGCAUUGUCUGAAUAGAGCACUGUUUAUUUAUCCAUUCACCUACCAAAGGACAUCUUGGUUGCUUCCAAAAUUUGGCAAUUAUGAGUAAAGCUGCUAUAAAUAUUCAUGUGCAGAUGUUUUUAUGGAUAUAAUUUUUCUACUCAUUUGAGUAAAUACCUAAGAGUGCAAUUUCUGGAUGGUAAGAGUAUGUUUAGAUUUGUAGGUAACUGCCAGACCAUCUUCCAAAGCGUCUAUCAUUUUGCAUUCCCACCAGCAAUGAAUGAGUUCCUGCUGCUCUACAACCUUGCCAACAUUUGGAAUUGUCAGUGUUCUGGAUUUUAGCCAUUCUAUUAGGUUAUAACAGGGUUCAAGAUGUGUACUUUCAUGGAAAAUGAUGUUUCCAUCUUUUCAAUGGUUGGCUCAAAGGGGUGGAUCAAGAACAAGGAACAUUAAUUGGUAGAGAGAAAGAAAAAAAAGUGACCAAUAAAGAAUCCCCUGAUCACUGUGUGGGCUGCAAAUAGCUGGGAUCAGACCACCCAUCCUGCUGUGUCCAAGGCUCUGUGACUCCUGGAGGCAUGGUAUAAACCGAAUCUGCAGGGAGCGGCACACACACACGUCUUUAAUUUCCAUUUCCUCAUUAUCAUCUCUUAUAUUCUACUGCUCAACAUGAAAAAAAAAAAAGAGUGUGAGAUAUUGCUAAUAAACUGAUCCUUUCAAGCUUAGGAUCACAGCCCCGACAAUCAGA